UUAGUGGCGGACUGGUGAGUAACGCGUGAGGAACCUGCCUUCCAGAGGGGGACAACAGUUGGAAACAGGUGCUAAUACCGCAUAAGCGCACAGGGCCGCAUGGCCCGGUGUGAAAAACUCCGGUGGUGUAAGAUGGACCCGCGUCUGAUUAGCUUGUUGGCGGGGUAGAGGCCCACCAAGGCGACGAUCAGUAGCCGGCCUGAGAGGGUGGACGGCCACAUUGGGACUGAGACACGGCCCAAACUCCUACGGAAGGCAGCAG
rnacentral:rRNA from 1 species